rnacentral:rRNA from 1 species
GAUGAACGCUGGCGGCGUGCCUAAUACAUGCAAGUCGAGCGAACAGACGAGGAGCUUGCUCCUCUGACGCUAGCGGCGGACGGGUGAGUAACACGUGGAUAACCUACCUAUAAGACUGGGAUAACUUCGGGAAACCGGAGCUAAUACCGGAUAACAUGUUGAACCGCAUGGUUCAACAGUGAAAGACGGUCUUGCUGUCACUUAUAGAUGGAUCCGCGCCGCAUUAGCUAGUUGGUAAGGUAACGGCUUACCAAGGCAACGAUGCGUAGCCGACCUGAGAGGGUGAUCGGCCACACUGGAACUGAGACACGGUCCAGACUCCUACGGGAGGCAGCAGUAGGGAAUCUUCCGCAAUGGGCGAAAGCCUGACGGAGCAACGCCGCGUGAGUGAAGAAGGUCUUCGGAUCGUAAAACUCUGUUAUUAGGGAAGAACAAAUGUGUAAGUAACUAUGCACGUCUUGACGGUACCUAAUCAGAAAGCCACGGCUAACUACGUG